CGGCUGCUAAGACCGCAUAGACGUGCAGGAGGCAUCUCCUGCACGCUAAAUGGCCCUUCAAGGCCAGCGGAGGGAUGGACCUAUGCCGCAUUAGCUAGUUGGCGGGGCAGAGGCCCACCAAGGCGACGAUGCGUAGCCGGUCUGAGAGGACGGACGGCCACAUUGGGACUGAGACACGGCCCAAACUCCUACGGGAGGCAGCAGUAGGGAAUUUUCGGCAAUGGGGGAAACCCUGACCGAGCAACGCCGCGUGAACGACGAAGGCCUUCGGGUCGUAAAGUUCUGUUGUAAAGGAAGAACGUCGGGCAUAGGAAAUGAUGCGCGAGCGACGGUACUUUACAUAGAAAGCCACGGCUAACUACGUGCC
rnacentral:rRNA from 1 species